rnacentral:rRNA from 1 species
UGGGGAAUAUUGGGGCAAUGGGGGGCGCAAGCCUGACCCAGCAACGCCGCGUGAAGGAAGAAGGCUUUCGGGUUGUAAGCUUCUUUUGUCGGGGACGAGUAGAAGACGGUACCUGGCGAAUAAGCCACGGCUAACUACGUGCCAGCAGCCGCGGUAAUACGUAGGGGGCAAGCGUUAUCCGGAUUUACUGGGUGUAAAGGGAGCGUAGACGGCAUGACAAGCCAGAUGUGAAAACCCAGGGCUCAACCCUGGGACUGCAUUUGGAACUGCCAGGCUGGAGUGCAGGAGAGGUAAGCGGAAUUCCUAGUGUAGCGGUGAAAUGCGUAGAUAUUAGGAGGAACACCAGUGGCGAAGGCGGCUUACUGGACUGUAACUGACGUUGAGGCUCGAAAGCGUGGGGAGCAAACAGGAUUAGAUACCCUGGUAGU